CAUCAUUUAAAGAAAGCGUAAUAGCUCACUGGUCGAGUCGGCCUGCGCGGAAGAUGUAACGGGGCUAAACCAUGCACCGAAGCUGCGGCAGCGACACUGUGUGUUGUUGGGUAGGGGAGCGUUCUGUAAGCCUGUGAAGGUGUGUCGUGAGGCAUGCUGGAGGUAUCAGAAGUGCGAAUGCUGACAUAAGUAACGAUAAAGCGGGUGAAAAGCCCGCUCGCCGGAAGACCAAGGGUUCCUGUCCAACGUUAAUCGGGGCAGGGUGAGUCGACCCCUAAGGCGAGGCCGAAAGGCGUAGUCGAUGGGAAACGGGUUAAUAUUCCCGUACUUGGUGUUACUGCGAAGGGGGGACGGAGAAGGCUAUGUUGGCCGGGCGACGGUUGUCCCGGUUUAAGCGUGUAGGUGUGUGUUCCAGGUAAAUCCGGUUCACUUUAACACUGAGGCGUGACGACGAGGCACUACGGUGCUGAAGCAACAAAUGCCCUGCUUCCAGGAAAAGCCUCUAAGCAUCAGGUAACAUCAAAUCGUACCCCAAACCGACACAGGUGGUCAGGUAGAGAAUACCAAGGCGCUUGAGAGAACUCGGGUGAAGGAACUAGGCAAAAUGGUGCCGUAACUUCGGGAGAAGGCACGCUGACACGUAGGUGAAGUGAUUUACUCAUGGAGCUGAAGUCAGUCGAAGAUACCAGCUGGCUGCAACUGUUUAUUAAAAACACAGCACUGUGCAAACACGAAAGUGGACGUAUACGGUGUGACGCCUGCCCGGUGCCGGAAGGUUAAUUGAUGGGGUCAGCGCAAGCGAAGCUCCUGAUCGAAGCCCCGGUAAACGGCGGCCGUAACUAUAACGGUCCUAAGGUAGCGAAAUUCCUUGUCGGGUAAGUUCCGACCUGCACGAAUGGCGUAAUGAUGGCCAGGCUGUCUCCACCCGAGACUCAGUGAAAUUGAACUCGCUGUGAAGAUGCAGUGUACCCGCGGCAAGACGGAAAGACCCCGUGAACCUUUACUAUAGCUUGACACUGAACAUUGAGCCUUGAUGUGUAGGAUAGGUGGGAGGCUUUGAAGUGUGGACGCCAGUCUGCAUGGAGCCGACCUUGAAAUACCACCCUUUAAUGUUUGAUGUUCUAACGUGGACCCGUUACCCGGGUUGCGGACAGUGUCUGGUGGGUAGUUUGACUGGGGCGGUCUCCUCCUAAAGAGUAACGGAGGAGCACGAAGGUUGGCUAAUCCUGGUCGGACAUCAGGAGGUUAGUGCAAUGGCAUAAGCCAGCUUGACUGCGAGCGUGACGGCGCGAGCAGGUGCGAAAGCAGGUCAUAGUGAUCCGGUGGUUCUGAAUGGAAGGGCCAUCGCUCAACGGAUAAAAGGUACUCCGGGGAUAACAGGCUGAUACCGCCCAAGAGUUCAUAUCGACGGCGGUGUUUGGCACCUCGAUGUCGGCUCAUCACAUCCUGGGGCUGAAGUAGGUCCCAAGGGUAUGGCUGUUCGCCAUUUAAAGUGGUACGCGAGCUGGGUUUAGAACGUCGUGAGACAGUUCGGUCCCUAUCUGCCGUGGGCGCUGGAGAACUGAGGGGGGCUGCUCCUAGUACGAGAGGACCGGAGUGGACGCAUCACUGGUGUUCGGGUUGUCAUGCCAAUGGCACUGCCCGGUAGCUAAAUGCGGAAGAGAUAAGUGCUGAAAGCAUCUAAGCACGAAACUUGCCCCGA
rnacentral:rRNA from 1 species